UGGCAUUCGAGUGGCGGACGGGUGAGUAACGCGUGGGUAACCUGCCUUACACAGGGGGAUAACACCUGGAAACAGGUGCUAAUACCGCAUAAGCGCACAGGGCCGCAUGGCCCGGUGUGAAAAACUCCGGUGGUGUAAGAUGGACCCGCGUCUGAUUAGCUUGUUGGCGGGGUAGGGGCCCACCAAGGCGACGAUCAGUAGCCGGCCCGAGAGGGUGGACGGCCACAUUGGGACUGAGACACGGCCCAAACUCCUACGGAAGGCAGCAG
rnacentral:rRNA from 1 species